rnacentral:ncRNA from 1 species
CCAAGGGGUGCCUGAAAUUUUUUUAUAAUUUUGAUGGCUGAGAUGCAUAGCGAACCCUUAGAACCUGAACCGGAUAGUACCGGCGUAGGAAUGGUU